AUUAAUACAUAUUUUUUGUCACGUGGCACAAAUGUGUCAGCCACGUCAGUUCUUAACGGAUCAAUGAAUGGAAAUUGUAAUGGAUGAAUUAUAUUGAAAUAAAAUAGUACUUGAGAUAUGAAAGUGAAAUAUUUUAAAGAUGUAAGAAAUUGAAAUUGACCCCAAACCUGAGAUGGUAAAGUUUAAUUUACCCUUUUUCAAAUUAAAAUUUAACAAAAAUAUGACCAUUGUAGGAAACUUGGAUUUGGCAUUUUCAUAUUUAUUUCAAAUUUUAUAUGCAAUUCAAAACUUUGAACGCUUCAAUACAAUGGCAACGACGUUACGAGCUAAUCGUAAAAUCCAAAUAAAAACACUAGUAAAAAAAAAACUUUGACGGGCUUCAUUGACCUAGCAUUGUUUUGGGCCUUGGACUUAUACAUGGCUUGGCCCAUUGCCCUAAUUUCUUUUAUGUCAAGGUCCAAGCCCAGCUGCCCAAACCAUUUUAUGAGACUUUUUCAAUAUUAAGGUCAUCUUCAACCGAAUGAGUGUCAAAUGGUUCUUUUUAACCAUAUAGCCCUGAAAAAAAAAAUUAUAUUUUAAUGAACAAUGUUAGGCCAUAUUUUAUACCAUCUCUAACCGAGAGGGUCAAAGGGUCAAAGGCUAAAUAUAGUCAUUUGACAAAAAAUCAUCUCUAACUGAGGGGGCCAAAUGACCAUAAGUCAAACAUAAUUUAUUAUUUUAAUUCAAUUAAUAUGAUUAAUUAAAUUAAACUACAACCAAGGGCCCCACCGGUGGGGUGUGCUUGCUAAGCAAUUGCAAGGGAAGAAGCGAUACGAUAUAUAUGCAUUUAGGGUGCCGGCUAAGAAAUUGACAGGGAUGAAGGAUCCAAUGAUAUAAGACAUGCAUCUAGGGUUUCAUUUUAUUUUUUUUAAUGUUUUAAUAUAAUUUGUUUAUUUUGAUUUUGUUUUUCCAUUUAUUUAUUAAAAAAUUUAUUUUUAACUAAUUAACUACAAGGGUAAUUUUGUCCUUAAGGGGUGGAUGUGAAAAUGAAUUAAAACGUCAAGGCGUGUGAGUGUAAUGUUUCAAAUCUGAGGGGGUUUUGUGAAAAA
rnacentral:lncRNA from 1 species